UGACUGAAAAGGCAGAGUGUCAUUUGAGGAUGCGAGUAGUAUAAUCAUACUUUUUUGCAUGUAAGAAAGCAAUUUCCCAGUCCUCCUGACUCAUACCAGGGAAGCCUCCUGCGUCCAUAUACAAUGAAGGCUCAGGGACUUCUAACUCCUGGUGGACUGGCUGAUUGAGCCCUGGAAGUGUACUUUCUCCUUCAUUUCCCUCCUGACUCUCACUGGGAGAGUUGUAGACUCCUGGGAAACGCAGGUCUAUGGCCUGCCUAAGAGAGGACCAGCCCACACCAAAGAAAGUGCCACUGCCUCCUCCUCCUCAGUGGAUGCCACCAAGCCCCGAGGAGGACAACCUUUUCCUUAAUCUCCUUGAAACCCAGGCAAACUUUGACAAAAGGAAAGGUGUUUCCAGUGUGUUGUUAACUGAACCUUGGUUGCUUGGCAAAGGGUAGGUAUGAAUGCUAUGUCUGGCAGUAUGCAGUUCUUGUCUAAUUUACCCAAAGGAAAUGUCUGUGUGAUGUAUUUUUAAUUUGCUGAAGAAGGAUAAGUGUUCAAACCUUUGUACAUUUAUGCUGAAAUUAAUUUUUCAAAGUCCACAUAACUUCAGUGCUGUGGGAUAGUCUUAAGAACAGAAAUUAUGACCAACCAUAAUAAAUGACACAUUUUUGUGAAUGUCA
rnacentral:lncRNA from 1 species